GAAAAACUCAGCAAGAAUAAUUUUAAUAAAUUGAUCUCUAAGCCGGCCUAGACGAUAUCCAAAAAGGGUUUCAAGUUGAGAGUAGUUCACGUUCCAGACGUGUAUUAUGAACAAAAUGUAGUUUUUUAAAUAGUUUGAAAACAUACAAGCAAUAAGUAUAGUACAUCUGAAGAAAUCCAAAAAAGCACCUCGCAAUACAAUUCCGGACUUUGGUCAUGCUUAAGCAGCAACAAGUGCACCAUUGGAGCAAC